rnacentral:rRNA from 1 species
AUGAAUUGCCUUAGCUGGAACUACCGUGGGCUUGGGAACCCAGCGGCAGUUCGUGAGCUUCGCAGUGUAGUGAAGCAAGAAGGGCCAUGUCUUCUAUUUGUAAUGGAGACAAAGAUUGCAGCUAAAAGAGUGGAAAACCUAAAGAAUCAACUUGGUUUUGUAGGCUAUUUCGCAGUAGACAGUGAUGGUCUAAGUGGAGGUAUUGGUUUGUUUUGGUCAGCCGAAGUGCAGGUUGAACUUCAAAACUAUAGUUCUGGCCAUAUAGAUGUAAUGGUGUAG